GCCAAGAUCGCACCACUGCACUCCAGCCUGGGUGACAGAGCGAGACUCAAUCUCCAAAAAAAAAAAAAAAAGUGAUAUAAUAAACUUGCAAAAAUACAAGUGCUCACUUAAUGCCACCAAUAGGUUCUUGAAAACUGCAACUUUAAGUGAAGCAAUGUAUAAUUUAAACCAAUUUUUACCAUAGAGUAAUUGAUAUAAAUAAGAAUUAAGUUCCUAUGGCAUAUUUCUGGUCACAAAAACAUCAAAUGUCUAAGUAAAGACUCAAAACCCUUUUAAUAUUAAAGAUUGAAAUAAAUGUGAGCUUUAUACACAUUUAAGAAAAAUUAACAAAAAUAAGUAGGACAAUUAAUUAUCCAAUUUUUGGUGCAUCCGUGAGUGAUGGUAGUCAUCGUGGUGGAGGUGAAAUCACGGAAUAAAUGUUUGCAAAGGGAAAAUUGUAAACAUCACCUCCUACCACAAUGCAGUUCAAAAACAAACAAUAACAAAUAUGGCAGGUUCACUGAGCACUUUCACACUGCAUUGCUUGUUGUCCUAUAUUUGUGUAGUUAUUGUAUUUAAUAAAUUUAUAUGUUGCAAUAAUAUAUAUUCAUUCAUUCUCCAACUCGCUUACUCCAGUUCAGGGUCAUGGGUGGCUAGAGCCUACCCUUGAAGCUAAGCAGGAACCAACCCUGGACAGCAUGCCAUUCCAUUGCAGGGCACACACACACCACCCACACUCAACUCAGACCAGGACAAUUUAGACACGCCAUGAACUUAACACUUACAGCUUUGGGAUGUAAAAUCCAGGGAACCCAGAGAAAACCUGUGCAGAUACAGGGAGAAUGUGCCAACUCCACACAGACAGUGGCCCUCACUGGGAAUCAAUUUUUCUUAUCAAUGUUAUAACAAAAUGACACUGAACAAAACAUCGUUAUUCAAGAACCUGCUGUACAUCUCAUGUUUGGCCCCAUAUAUGUAACAGGUCACAAAUCUUGAGAACAGAAAAUGAAUCCUUAUUCAUCUCUGUAACUGACUAUACAGCAGAGCUCUCUAGACAGUUCAGUUUCUUCAUAAAUGUUCAUUCAAUAACAGAAACUUCUGGGAAGAGGAGGCAGAUUUAACCAGCAUAACCAGGAGGGAAAGGACUAUCCUGGAACUCUACAGUGAGCAGAUGCUUCCCAACCUGAAGAAAUGCUCAGUAAAUGAACGUGAUGGGCAAUCUAUGAUUCUUGACUGCCUAUCAUCGAGCUCUCUCCUCUUGGUACCAUUAUCCUGAUUACCUUUCGGGGGGCUACCUCUCGCACAUAGAAAAUAGUCUUGUUGGCAAUUAAUCAGGUUUCACACCUACUCCUAAACAAAAGAUGGGAACAUGAUCUACAUUGGGCCUACUAGACAUUCCUUCCCUGGACUAUGAAUUGUGAGCAGUGAACAAAAAAGGCUUGCAAUGGUUUCAGUUCAUUCAUUCCACUGCCAGAGCUAGAAAGAAAAUGGUUUCUACCUGUUCUAGGCCUUCCUUUCAAAUCUGCAAGUCCAGACCUAUGCAGCCUCCCAACCACUGC